rnacentral:rRNA from 1 species
GAUGAACGCUGGCGGCGUGCAUAACACAUUCAAGUCGAACGGUGACGAGGACUUCGGUCCUCUGAUCAGUGGCGGACGGGUGAGUAACGCGUGAGCAACCUGCCCUAUAUUGCGGGAUAACAACCGGAAACAGUUGCUAAUACCGCAUGACGUAUUCGGAUCGCAUGUUCUGAAUACCAAAGAAUUUUGAUAUAGGAUGGGCUCGCGUCCGAUUAGGCAGUUGGUGGGGUAACGGCCCACCAAACCGACGAUCGGUAGCCGAACUGAGAGGUUGAACGGCCACAUUGGAACUGAGAUACGGUCCAGACUCCUACGGGAGGCAGCAGUGGGGAAUAUUGGGCAAUGGGCGAAAGCCUGACCCAGCGACGCCGCGUGAGGGAGAAGGCCCUCGGGUUGUAAACUUCUUUUACCAGGGACGAAUUUUGACGGUACCUGGAGAAAAAGCAACGGCUAACUACGUG